AUCCCGAAAGGGUCCCGCGUGGAACCAUCGGCAAAGGUGGCCUGUGCAUGCAAGCUACCGAACCGGGAUGAGCCCGCGUCCUAUUAGCUUGUUGGUGGGGUAACGGCCCACUCAAGGCGACGAUGGGUAGCUGGUCUGAGAGGACGGCCAGACACACUGGUACUGGUACACGGUCCAGAAUCCUACGAGAGGCAGCAGUGACGGAUUGUGUAGCGGAUGGGCGGGACAUCCGCUGAGCAGCAGGGAUCGCGACGCGUGGGUAGACACGUAGAGCGCCAUGUCCGAGUGUCCUGUCGUAGGCCGCGUAGUGCAGGCGCGCGUACAGGCAUAUGUCCACGCUGCGGCGUCUUCGAUAUCGUGGCACGGGAGUCAAUGUACGGUAACCCGUGCUGAAGUAAGGAACGUCACCCCC
rnacentral:rRNA from 1 species